AGUCGGAGUCUGGGAGGAGAGGGGACGUUUCCUAUCGAUCAACAUCCGCAGACAGAGUGGAUCUACUUUGGCCAUGAGGGUGAGGACCAUGCAUCCACCUUGUAGGAUUGCUCACUCAGUUCUUGCUGCUCUCUUACCAAAAGAGCACCGGUCCUUCUGGCGGAGUGGCGCUGAGUGACGCGGCGAUUAGGGAUCUCACGGACGGGGGAGGGAGGGGAAGCUCGACGCCUUUUCCUUCGAGGCCCAUGCUGGCCGCAGACAUGCUUCUGUGGAGGAUGCUGAUAAAAAGCAAAUUAUUUUAUUCUGUUCACAAUCAGUUCCAACCUCAGCCUGCAGAGUCCCCCAAGAAAUAAGGUAUUAACUCUAUCGUAUGGAGGUGAAUUCUUGGAGGAAAAGCCAUCCCUAAACAGACGGAGAAGUCGUUUUUAAAGCAUUAAAAUCCGGCGGUGUGUGUCCCGCUCAUCCUUCUUCUUAACGAGCCAUGCGCUGUCUUGACGGAUUUGAUGUGAGAAACGAAUUCAAAUCACAUGUCGUUGGCAAGGAAAGGGUUGCCCCCGGGGGCUCUUGUACCAAGAAGGGGAAUUUUCGUGAUGGGCCCUCAGGCUGU
rnacentral:lncRNA from 1 species